rnacentral:rRNA from 1 species
GACGAACGCUGGCGGCGUGCUUAACACAUGCAAGUCGAACGGAAAGGCCCUGCCGUUGGGGGGCGCGCGAGUGGCGAACGGGUAAGUAACACGUGAGUAACCUGCCCCUGUCUUUGGGAUAACGUCAGCUAACUGUGGUUAAUACCGGAUAGGCGUUCCUCCUGCAUGGUGGGGGUUGGAACGUUUGGGUGGUUGGGGAUGGACUCGCGGCUUUUCGGCUUGUUGGUGGGGUAGUGGCUUACCAAGCCUUGGACGGGUGGCCGGCCUGGGAGGGUGACCGGCCACAUUGGGAUUGGGAUACGGCCCGGACCCCUACGGGAGGAAGCGGUGGGGAAUAUUGCACAAUGGGCGGAGCCCUAAUGCAGCAACGCGGGGGGCGGAAUAACGGCCUUCGGUUUGUAACCCGCUUCCGCAUGUAACGAGGCGUGAGUGACGGUAAUGGGUGAAGAAGCACCGGCUAACUACGUG